UGGUUAAGCGUCUGCCUUCAGCUCAGGUCAUGAUCCUGGAGUCCCGGGAUCGAGUCCCGCAUCGGGCUCCCUGCUCGGCGGGGAGUCUGCUUCUCCCUCUGACCCUCCUCCCUCUCAUGCUCUCUGUCUCUCAUUCUCUCUCAAGUAAAUGAAUAAAAUCUAAAAAAAAAAAAGAGAGAAAGAAAGGAAGGAAGAAAGGAAAGAAAGAAAAGGAAAGAAAGAAAAGAAAAGAGAGAAGAGAAAGGAAAGAAAGGAAGGAAGGAAGGAGGAAGAAAGAAAGAAAGAAAGAAAAAGAAAGAAAGAAAAAGUGGUAACUUAAGGAGAGAUUUUACCUACAACCGCCCGCCCCACCUGCAGUUUCACUAUCCGCAGUUUUGUCAAAGGCAGCUGGGAAGCGGAUGAUCCUCCUUCUGACGAAUCUGCAGAAAGUCAAUAGUGGCCUAACCUUACCUCAAGAUGCUACGUCAUUCUCCUCGCUUCAUCUCAUCACGUAGGCGUUCUAUCCUGUCGCGUCGCCCCAAGAAGGGCUCUACACCCAGUGUGGAUCCCAAUGUGGGGCUUGAACUCACGACCCUGAGAUUGAGGCCUGAGCUGAGAUCAAGACACUUAACUGACUGAGCUACCCAGGUGCCACAAAAAUGUGGCUGCGCUGUCCACUGCUGCCCCCCUUUCGAGCUGGGGAUUUCUCUCUCCUGCCCAGCCUCUCCAGCACUGUGGAGCUCAGAUCAUUUCCAGCUCUCAUCUGCAUUCAUCUCAAUGUGAAAUCUAUGUAUUCUGUUGGUCAUUGCAUCUACAAAGAAGAAGUCAGUGUAAUCUUAGAGUUUGGGUGUUUGUCAUUUCUUCCUGCAAGAUGACUUCACAUUCACACGUAAGUCAGGGGGACAAGGAUAACCUGUCACAUCCUUGAGGUUUAUUAACUUUUAGUACUGAGUGGAGAGUGGGAGGAAAUUUUAAUUGGAGUUGCUCUGAAAAGGGGGUGGGGACAAACGCUUUUUGUCUGUGAUCCUUCAGAACCAUCUGGAAUACACAUGAGAUUCGUUUUCUGCCAUUGUCUCUCCAA